rnacentral:rRNA from 1 species
CCUACGGGUGGCUGCAGUGGGGAAUAUUGGACAAUGGGGGGAACCCUGAUCCAGCCAUGCCGCGUGUGUGAAGAAGGCCCUCGGGUUGUAAAGCACUUUCAGUGAGGAAGAACGCCUGGUGGUUAAUACCCAUCAGGAAAGACAUCACUCACAGAAGAAGCACCGGCUAACUCCGUGCCAGCAGCCGCGGUAAUACGGAGGGGGCGGCGUUAAUCGGAAUUACUGGGCGUAAAGCGCGCGUAGGUGGCUUGAUAAGCCGGUUGUGAAAGCCCCGGGCUCAACCUGGGAACGGCAUCCGGAACUGUCAAGCUAGAGUGCAGGAGAGGAAGGUAGAAUUCCCGGUGUAGCGGUGAAAUGCGUAGAGAUCGGGAGGAAUACCAGUGGCGAAGGCGGCCUUCUGGACUGACACUGACACUGAGGUGCGAAAGCGUGGGUAGCAAACAGGAUUAGAUACCCUAGUAGUC